rnacentral:rRNA from 1 species
UACGAAGGGUGCGAGCGUUAAUCGGAAUUACUGGGCGUAAAGCGUGCGCAGGCGGUCUUGCAAGACAGGCGUGAAAUCCCCGGGCUUAACCUGGGAACUGCACUUGUGACUGCAAGGCUGGAGUACGGCAGAGGAGAAUGGAAUUCCGCGUGUAGCAGUGAAAUGCGUAGAUAUGCGGAGGAACACCGAUGGCGAAGGCAAUCCCCUGGACCUGUACUGACGCUCAUGCACGAAAGCGUGGGGAGCAAACAGGAUUAGAUACCCUGGUAGUCCACGCCCUAAACGAUGUCAACUGGUUGUUGGACGGCUUGCUGUUCAGUAAUGAAGCUAACGCGUGAAGUUGACCGCCUGGGGAGAACGGCCGCAAGGUUGAAACUCAAAGGAAUUGACGGGGACCCGCACAAGCGGUGGAUGAUGUGGUUUAAUUCUAUGCAACGCGAAAAACCUUACCUACCCUUGACAUGUCUGGAAUCCUGAAGAGAUUUGGGAGUGCUAGAAAGAGAGCCAGAACACAGGUGCUGCAUGGCCGUCGUCAGCUCGUGUCGUGAGAUGUUGGGUUAAGUCCCGCAACGAGCGCAACCCUUGUCAUUAGUUGCUACGAAAGGGCACUCUAAUGAGACUGCCGGUGCCAAACCGGAGGAAGGUGGGGAGGACGUCAGGUCUUCAUGGCCCUUAUGGGUAGGGCUCCCCACGUCAUCCAAUGGCCGGUCCAGAGGGCUGGCAACCCGCGAGGGGGAGCCAAUCCCAGAAAACCGGUUGUAGUCCGGAUGGCAUUCUGCAAUUGGAUUCCGUGAAGUCGGAAUCGUUAGUAAUCGCGGAUCACCUUGCCGCGGUGAAUACGUUCCCGGGUCU